rnacentral:rRNA from 1 species
AAUGGCCUAACGGCCGAACCAGCAACUUGGAGGAAUGUAUAGCGAAAGCUAGCAGCAUUAACAAACUGUUAAUGCUGCUGCGACUAUGUCGUGUAAAAUUCAGGGUAGAGUUAUGAUAAUGACGUUCUCUAUCUGUAUGUCUCGACCAAACUACGUGCCAGCAGUCGCGGUAAUACGUUGGAGACUAGUGUUAUUCGUCUUUAGUAGGUUUAAAGGGUACCUAGACGGUUAUUACAGCCCCCAAAGGGUACUGUUUAUACUAGAGUUUUAUGAGAGGGGGGGUGUACUAAUGGUGUAGAGAUGAAAUUCUGUCAUACCAUUAUGAACAGGCAACAGCGAAGGCAACCCUUUAUGUGAAAACUGACGUUGAAGGACGAAGGCUUGGUUCACCAACAGGAUUAGAUACCCUAGCAGUCCGAGCAGACAAUGAUGAAUGCCAUAGACUAGAAAAAAAAUUUAGUCUAUAAAUUAAAGUGUAAGCAUUCCACCUUAGGAGUAAUGCGGCAACGCAUAAAUUGAAAUCAUUAGACCGUUUCUGAAACCAGUAGUGAAGUAUGUCCGUUUAAUUUGGUAAUCCGCAUAACACCUUACCACAAUUUGUAUGUUUAGAAAUAAAUACAAGAGUUGCACGGCUGUCUUCAGUUAAUGUCGUGAGAUUUUGGUUAGUUCCAUUAAAUUAACGUAAACCCUUACUUUAUUUUACUAAAUAGAGUAGUUCCCCGCUAUAUUGGAUAUGAUAACAGGGACUAAGACAAGUCAUCAUGACCCGAAUAUUGU